ensembl:lncRNA
AAAUGAUUGAAAUUGUUUUAAGAAUCUUUUUUUUUUUUUUGCUGAAUUUCUCUAUUUAAAUGCUAUGAACAAGUAAGUGUCUGGCUUUAGAUUAAUGAGUUAUUAAAUACAUUUUUGUAUCAAGUAACAGUAAUCUUGCUAGCAAAAUAGAUCUUGCAUAGCCACAGAACUUCUCAAUUUCUAUCAUACUGUAAUUACAAGUUGCACUUCUAAUGACUUCAGUCAAUUGGAAUGAGAAAGAAAUGUCAUGUCCAGGGCUCUUGUGUAGAGUUACAGCUGUCAAGAAUCUAACCUGGAGAGCAGAGAAUAGAAGGGGUUGUGUUUCAAAGGACCAUGGAAUCAUUAGAAUUCUUGGAGUUGGAAGGGAUCUUUAAAGGUCGUCUUGUCCAACUCUCCUCCACAAUGAACAUGGACACCACAGCUAGAUCAGGUUGCCCAAGGCCUGAUCUGGUCUUACCUUCGAAGUCUCCAGGGACAGAGCAUUCACAGCAUGUCUGGAAUACUCUCUGGAGCAUAGGAAUACAGCAAAUAGUUUUUCCUCCACUAUUGUACAUUGGCUUUCACUUUUUUCACUACGAUAUGCAGAUAUGAAAUGCAGCUAAUGCUUGCUCUGAAAGGGACGGCUCAAUAAUAUCUGAGAAAUUUACUGGCUCCAGAUGUUCUUUGCAACAACAUUAUUUCUCCUGCCUAGGGGAAAAAAAAAACAAGGAAUGAUCCAGAGGAACCGUUGUUCUUCAGAUUUUCAGUUGUUCAAUAUGAUAUGUAAUAUGAAUGGCCCCUUCUAAGGGCUCACUAAAAUAAGGAAUAGCCUUGCACAGAAGAGUUGCUGAUUAUUAUUUGAAUGAAAGCCAAGUCACAGAGGAAAAGAAAUCUAGUUAGAUAAAAUAAUUUAGAGAUUAGUACUUUUCUACAUGUACGCUCUGCUUUAAGGAUAGAAUACAUUUUGAGAAUCAUGUUUCUAGCAGAAGCCUAUGACUUUAUCAGAAUGGUUCCAAUUCUGCUCAUGUCCAGAUCUUUCUACAACACUGCUGUCUGGAAACUAUAUUUGUUUUGUACAGCAAGCUAGCUUAAAAAGGCCUUUUUCAUUCCCAAGGAUCAAUAUGAGCUACUUGGUUCUUUGUAGAAUUUUUUAUGAAGUAUUCCUAACCAAGGGCUUCAAAGUACCUCUAAUUUAAACUGCUGACUUGCAACUGCGCUUGUUUUUACUCGGGAAUUUUUCCUUUUUCUAACACUAUUUUUGUAGCAAAGUAAAUCUGUUCUUUCUGGAAAUAGCUGUUUAAACUUGCAGUUCUGUGCAGUUCUUCUCUUUUGCUACACUUAAGUUAAAUCUUUAAUGUUUAUUUUGGAAAUGAGUACACAGACCUAAGCACUAUUUUUGAUGGUUAUUGAUAUCAACUUUCUUCAAACCUGAAUCAUUAAAGCCACUCCUACUUACGUUCCUUUUCCCCCUAUUAUUGUUUCUAUAAUGCUUUUUUCUUGCCAUAUGAGAAAAAUAAACAGGCAACAGAACCUCUAUGUUCUGCUGUUCAUAUGCUGAACAUAUACAGUCUUUAGUCAUUAUGACUGGGAAAUAAAAUCCA